GGCUAUUUUGUGACAAAACUGUGUGGGUUGCUGCAGGAUAAAUCAAGGAGUCUCUGGAGUGCAACAAAAAGCCUCAGGAGCAAGCUGGAGUUAGCUGGAGAGUUGGGGGACCUUACAGUGCAGGGAAUUUGGGGCUUUUCCAUGACAGGUUUUUUUUUUUCCCCUCCCUGUCAUGAACAGUCAGUCAAGUGCGAUGUCUCAUUUGAUUGUGUUUCCUAAUGAAUCUUCUUUAUGCAAAGUUCAGCCUUGAGCUUCUGUUUCCUUCUCGAGAACACCCUUGGCUGCGUUUCAUGCAUGACUUCCAGCUCCCGUCAUCCAGUCACAGCGGCAUGCCCGGCUGAUAAGCAAGGAAGUGAGUGAUGCCAGAAAUUGGGGAUUCGGUACUUGUUCUCCUGAACUCUGUCAUGGCGUUUCCUAAGUCUCUGCUGGCAGUGUCUGAGGAAGUGCUCUGUGAUCGCUGCGGCAUCCUCAGCAGACAGCACCGAGGUGGAAGCAGAACUGCCAGAGUACAGAAAAGCAGGGGCUGAGACUAGGGAGGA
rnacentral:lncRNA from 1 species